rnacentral:tmRNA from 1 species
ACCUAUUGGACCCGGGGGCGGUACCCGGCGCCUCCACCAAAAUAUAAACAACCAAAAUUAUAUUUUGGUGGGGGCGAAAUAGGAUCGACAAGGGUGUAAAGAUCGCUCUUUUACUCGGCAUUGUACCACCGUUAUCGGGCUAAAUGAGUAGUUGCAAAUGACAACUAUGCGGAAGCACGUCUCGCCGCCUAAGGUGGUGUGAAUGUUUCAAAUUGACUCUUAAACCGUCGCAGGUUUAAGCGGGGUUGGAA